rnacentral:rRNA from 1 species
GACGGGGGCCCGCACAAGCAGUGGAUUAUGUGGUUUAAUUCGAAGCAACGNGAAGAACCUUACCAGGGCUUGACAUCCCGCUAACGAGAUAGAGAUAUGUUAGGUGCCCUUCGGGGAAAGCGGAGACAGGUGGUGCAUGGUUGUCGUCAGCUCGUGUCGUGAGAUGUUGGGUUAAGUCCCGCAACGAGCGCAACCCCUAUUGUUAGUUGAUACGCAAGAGCUCUCUAGCGAGACUGCCGUUGACAAAACGGAGGAAGGUGGGGACGACGUCAAAUCAUCAUGCCCCUUAUGUCCUGGGCUACACACGUAAUACAAUGGCGCAAAACAAAGGGAAGCAAAGUCGCGAGACGGAGCUAAUCCCCAAAAGGUGUCUCAGUUCGGAUUGCAGGCUGCAACUCGCCUGUAUGAAGUCGGAAUUGAUAUGUAAUCGCGGAUCAGCAUGCCGCGGUGAAUACUGUUCCCGGGCCUUGUACACACCGCCCUGUCACACCAUGAGAGCCGGGAACACCCGAAGUCNGUAGUCUAACCGCAAGGAGGACGCGGCCGAAGGUGGGUUUGGUNAUUGGGGUGAAGUCGUAACAAGGUAGGCGUUGAAAA